rnacentral:lncRNA from 1 species
CACAUACAUGUCAUUGAUUAGUCACUACCGCCUAGUAUUCUCUGCUCCAACCACUUAAAUUUCUCUUUCAGUUUUUUUUUUCUUCUUCCGCCUCUUUUAGUUUCUCCUGCAAUUUCGUAAUUUUUUGUUUCAUUUCAAACUCACGGUGUCGGUACUCACAGUUUAUAUUCCAAAUAUACUGCAAAGAUUUUUUGUAGCAUUCCUACUCAAUGGGUUAAUCAUACCAUUCCUUAAAAUCGUAAUAAUUUCCGUCAUUGCCUCCAAACCUGUUUACACACAUCCAACAUAUGCACCCAACAUGACCAUUGGACCAACAUGAGUUCAUCAUAUAGCGUUUUCCACAAUAGCAUAUUGGUUGGUCAUUGCGUCCAGACAUUUGUUAAUGAAAAAAAACCUUGCUUUUAUGAAAAGUGUUGCUAUUUGUUUUGGUUAAGCGCAGAUAAUAACUAAAAUGCGCUAGUUAUUUAUAGGCAAGGCAACACACAUAACAUGGUAUUAACCGUGCUAUGCUCCGCGUGCUAAUGAUUCUUUACGGUACAAUACAUCUUUUCCAGGCGAGCAGCUUUUGUAGAAUGACAACUUUAUCAGGUUGACAAGAUAAUACACAUAACGUGGUAUGUAACCGCGCUAUACUUCGCGUGCUAAUAAUUCUUUACGGUACAAUAUAGCUUUUCCAUAAGAUAGCUUUUCCAGAAGAUAGCUUUGGCAGAACGACAGCUUUAUCAGAUCGAAAAAACAAUACACAUAACAUGGUAUAUAACCGCGCUAUGCUUCGCGUGCUAAUCAUUAUUUCGGGUAUAAGAAAGCUUCUUAAACUGAACCAAGUCAUAUGUAUCUCAAAGACCUUUUGAAUAAACAUUACAACAUCUAUUACAAAAAGCCACUAACAUUUAACAAGUGGUUCAAAAAGAGGCAAAAGGGUGAAGGUAGUUCAACAGAUCCCCAUGGUUCACGUCUUAACACUAUCGAUCCCCACCUUGAAAAAAUAUUCUACGUUGCUACAUUGGCUUGAGUGAUGACAAGUGGUAUGGUGUUAUAUGUACCUUGGAAAAUUAACUUAUCAAUAUACACACUGAUCUCAAAGUCGCAGGGCACAUUAUUGAGGGCGAAGCGCAUUCUACAAAGACUGAAGGUAUGCAAAUUUGUGGAGAAAAACUACAAUGGGUUCCUUUUACUCAAAAUGAUGUGAUUACGAAGUACUGUGUCGUAGGCAUGGGCUUGUUGUGCCACAAGCACUGUCUGUAGCCUUCCAAACAAACACACACAAAGAUGAACCAGAAGCGAUUAGGCAUUUGAUGAAGGAGAUUCUAGAGAUGGAAAAUGCACUUGCUGUUCAUCAUGCAAUGGAUGAUCUUAACUUCUUGAGAGGAACGGAGGAUCAAUACUGGGAUAUAUUAGAAAAUGGUAAAUUUCAUAGAGACAAUGAUUAUCCUGUUUUCCCAACAGUUGUAGAGUGGGAGGGACUACCUAAGUUCCUACCACAGACGUUGGACGUAGGUGUCCCAUAUUGUUGUAGAAAUCAGGCAAGUGAUCUUCUUGAUGAUAGCGAUGAAAUGAGAGAAAUGUGAGUCUACUGGAGCCUAAAUUACGAUGCCCUUAGUCCCGAAGGGUGCAUACACAAUGUUGAUGAAGAAGUUAAUGACAUUGACAAUGAAAUAGUGCUAGACCGCAACGAUAGUGGCGAAUGACAAUUUUUUUGGUUGUUUAAAUGGAUUUUUGUUAGAUUGUUGUACUGAAGUAUUAGUGUUAAAUAUCAAAAAGAUAUAACAACAAUAGAAACAUAAUUUUCUUUCAUACAUUCUGCAAGAUAAACAAGUACAUAUACUUAUUAUAGAACACAUUAUGAAAAUAAAACACUACGUGUGUCAUUGAUAGUUGGGCAUAUUAGAUGAACUUCCCCCAGGAGCUGGAUUACCACAGCCACCCAAACCAGUUGAAGGACAUUUAUAAUGGUCUUGUCCUAUUUGCGAGCAUAUGCCAUAUUUACGCGCAUAAACGAUAUCACCAACAUCCAUUUGGUUCUGUAUACGCGUUCUUUUUUGCACUUGUAGCUUACACAAAUAGUCCUUGUUACGCACCAUUUUAAAUGGUUUCGGCGACCAAUAAUGCUCAGCACCCACUGGUUGUAACUGCCCACUAUAUGUGUUUAAGUAUGCAACAACAAUGUAUUGCUUAUUACCAUAGUUGGUUGGCCCUAAACCUGUAUGUUGAAAGCACUUGAUGGCAUGUGAACACUGCAUGUGGUAGAUGGACCAUUUCCUACAAGAACACAACCUGCUGGCGUCAUUUAUAGUGUGUAUAUUAUUUCCUCAGUUUUGAUGGAUAGCGGUGCGAACUUCAAAAAUAUUUUGCUCAUUGCGUUACUAUAAAAAUGAAUGCCAAUAUGCUCGCCUCCUGUAUUUCACAAAUCUUUUCUUUGGUAUUGACAUAAAUUUAAUACCCUCUCCAUUAAUUCCAAUGCACCUCUAUGCCUUUCAACAAACCUCUCUGCCAUCUAUUUGAAUGACAUCCACACCAUGGCAGUGACAAGCAAUCCACGUACAGAAUUCAAUAACCCGUUGAAAGACUCCGACACAUUUGUAGUCAGGGUUCCCCAUCGUCUUCCACCAUCCGCAUGCAAUGUCCACUUGUGAAGCUCAUGUUGCAUCCAAUGAUAGGCUCUUUCGUAUUCCUGCCGGAUUGAUUCCAUGUGCCUCCUGAAUUUGCACUCCUAGUGAUCAGUUAUAGCCAUCCACAUUAAAUCAUGUAAGUCCUUGUUGGGAUAUUUCUUCUGGAAAUUGGCCUGCAGGUGCCUCACAUAGUAACGGUGGUAUGCAUACGGUUCCUUCCAUUCAGGAAAAUGCUCUACAGAACUUAAUAUACCCCCAUGCCAAUCAGAUAUUAGAUAAAUACCUAAACAUUGUUUGACAAUGUGCUCCUUUAAGUAGUUCAAAAAUAGCGUCCACGUCUCUUGGCUUUCAUUGGCAUAGAUGGCAAAAGCUAGGAGAAAUAUUUGUCCAUUGGCAUCUACUACAAUGGCGAUCAACGGCUUAAUAUCAUACUUUCCAUAGACAUGAGUAUCGUCUAUGGAUAUUAUUAGGCGGCAAUGCACAAAACCAUCAAUUGCUGGUUUAAAUGCCCAGAACACGUAUCUAAGUAUAUAUUCUGGUAUUCAUGCACUCUACUCAAGCUUCCAUUCAACAAUAGUCCCGUGGUUAUAGUGUUGCAAUGCAUCCAUGUACCUAGGUAGAGAUGCAAAUGACUUAUCCCAGUCACCAUAAAUAAUUUCAAAUGCACAUUUGCGCCCGAGAUAUGCCUUUAUUUUGGUAAUAGUACACCCAUAUUCCUGGUGGAUGGAUGUAAUAUACUCUUUGAUUUUGUAACUUAUGGACACUUCAAUGUGUGGAAAUAGAAAUCAAGUCAACAUCCAAGUUGAAGUGAUUCCUAGUGAAUGUGUCCAUUUCACAAUUGUGGGUGCUAAUGUGUUUACCCACUUUCCACAUAUUUGUUUUCUUCUAUAUCGCACGCAGUAUCCAGUUACAACCCGUAAACCAUCUACAACAAACAACCUUGUAUAUAUCCAGAGAUGACUCAUAUACAGUCAUCUCACGACACUCUUUUAUGCUGUACAUUUUCACCGCCCUGCUUAGGUGCGCCUUAUCAGGUAAAAGCAUGCCCUUUGACAGCACCGCUAGUCUGGAUUCAUCCUACAUUAUUGUUCAAAUUUUGUCAAUAUCCCUUGUAAGGGCAUCUACAUACGGCAUACUUGGCAAAUGAUCAAGGUAGGGAAUAUGCCUUGAAUGAAACGACACGUGGGACUCAUACUCUCUUGGUCUAAUGGGAGGUGGAGCAUGCUCCCUCAUCAAAUCAGGUUCAACAUUCUCUUCCUCCUCGUUUUCACCCUCAUCACGGAAGGGUGUGUCAUCUCCAGACUCAUCGGCAUUAUUGUCAUAAUCACUAUUAUCUUCCUGACUCUGCGCAUCUGCCAAAUUUCGAGUAAAUACAUCGUCUACAGGCAAUUGAGUGAGUACAGGACCAUCAAGUUGCUCAUUUUCAAUACACAACCAAAGAAAUAAUGAGUUAUUGAAAUUGGUCCAAACAAUACAUAUAACUUUAUAUAUUCACUUACAAAUCAUAAUGUGCUGAUAUCCCAUGAUGCACAUUAUCUUGUUGAUCCUGACUCCAGGAUGGACUACCAUGAUCCAACACACCAAAACUAGGCAUAUUCCAACUGGCCAUUGGUUCAUAACUUGAAAAAUUCAUAUCUGGUCGGUACCCCUUGUGGUACAUAUGAGUGUUAAUAUAAAUACAAUACACAAAAAUAUACAUCGUAACAUAAAGAAUAAUUGAAGCUUAUCACUCGGCUUGGCGAUUAUGUAUACUAGGGGAGAAAUUAUUUCCUCGCUCCUCAUUCACCCGUGGAGAUAAGUUUAGAUCCGAUCAAACUCGUUCAGACGGAACCUGUUUGGCUAAAACAACUCCAAAAUAACCACCCGAUGAUUAAGGGAUUUCCCUACUUUACGCAACCUCAUUAUUGCGAACGUCUUCAACCUUGACGUACAUUUCCAACAAUUUUAUCACAAUAAAUUCCCUGUAUUCAUCCGGAGUCCCCAAAAAUCUCUCAGAGUUUCAUCGUCUUCGAUGUUAAACUCAGCAUAACAAGCGACCCUUUGCGGUGUCAUAGAAUACAGAUAUCUCCAGGUUAUUUUAAGAUUCACCGAACAUUUGCUCAUACACAUUUUAUUACAUAAUAAUGAUACAAUUAUAUCAUACUCCAUUUAAAGUGGCAACUAAACAUGACACUGUUGAGAUAAACUAUAGCUUACUGAGUUAUUCGCCACCACAACUGUGAUGACCCAAAAGGUCAUCACUUGUUUUAGAAAUGAAUUCUAUGUUCUGAGGCCUUAAAAACCUCUUUCUAUCCUACCUCGAUUUGUGUACAUAGUCCGAGCGCAUAGCCGGAAAGUCAUUAUGUGAAAAUCCGUGAAAAUGAGGAAUUUUGCCUUUUAAAUGAGUUUAAGUUGACUUCGGUCAACAUUUGGGUAAACAGAUCCAGACCCAUGAUUUGACGGUCCCGUAGGGUACAUAGGAAAAUAUAGGACUUAGACGUAUGCCCGGAAUCGAAUUCCGAGGUCCCAAGCCCGAGAAAUGAAUUUUUGAAAGAAAUUGUUUUGCGGAAUUAAUUUUGAGUUUUUGAAAGUGAAGUGUGUCUGAAACCAUUGGUAUCGGGACCAUAUUUUGGUUUUGGAGCCCAAUACAUGUCUUAUAGAUGAUUGGGUCGAGCCUGUGAAAAUUGGUAAGAAACGGAUUUGAAAUGAUGUGAAUCAGACCUUAUUUGAGACAUUGGGCAAAUUUGAAGUUCUUAAGAAAUUCCAUGAUUUUGAUGCUAAAUUCAUAGUUGUUGAUGUUAUUUUGGUGAUUUGAAUGCACGAACGAGUCCGUAUGAUAUUUUUAGGUUGGUGUGCAUGUUUGUUUUGGAUCCCCGAGGGCUCAGGUGAGUUUUGGAUAGGCCACAGAGUGAAAAUUUCACUUAGGAAUUUGCUGGUAUGUUGAAGGCCUGCAGGCUUCGCAUUUGCUGGUAUGUUGCUGGUAUUUGCGAAGCCUGGCUCGCAAAUGGGAGCAUUGUAUCGCAAAUGCGAGAAGUGGCCUGAGCUGCCUUAUUCGCAAAUGCGAAGGAAUGGUCGCAAAUGCGACAUCACAAUUGCAAAGGCACAAUCGCAAAUGCGAAGAGGAAUGGUUUUCCUCAGGGUUCGCAAAUGCGAACCCAUGUUCGCAAAUGCGAAGUUAGCAGAAGUCUGAGUUCGCAAUUGCGAACCCUGGUCGUAAUUGCGACAUCUGCAACUUGCAAUUUUAUAACUUAGACGAAAAUCUUUCAUUUUUCACACUUUUUUCAAAACCAAAACACUCUUGGGCGAUUUUUCAAAGACAACUCUUCUUCCAAAUCGAUUGUUAGUCAAUUUUAACUCAUUUCCUUCAAUCAUUAACAUCUUUUCACAUGAUUUCAACUCAAAAUCAAUGAUUUUCAUGGGGAAAAUUGGGUGUUUUGGGUAGAACCUAGGUUUUUCAAAAAUUGGGGAUUUGGACCUCGAUUUGAGGUCCAAUUUCAAAACAAAUUAUAUAUUUGGGUUCGUGAGGGAAUGGAAUUGGGUUUUGGUUUGAACCUCGGGUUUUGACUAUAUGGGCCCGGGGCAAUUUUUGAUUUUUUGGGUAAAACUUUGGAAAACUCUUUUUCAUGCAUUAGAAUUGAUUCAUUUAACGUUCACUGAUGUAAUUAAGUAACUUGUGACUAGAUACAAGUGAAUUGGUGGUGAAAUCAAACAGUAAAGUGAUAAUAGAGGCUUGAAUUGUGUUCGUGGAAUCGAGGUAAGUGUUUGAUCUAACUUUAGCUUGAGGGAUUAGGAGUUGUGUCAUAUUUUCUACAUGUUACUUGUUGAGUAUGACAUAUAGGCAUGGUGAAGAGUAUCUAUACGUUGGUGUCGAGCAUGACCGUGAGCCUUAAAGUGAAAUUGUUGUGUUCUUAAUAAAUACUACGAAUGCCUAAGUUGUUGAUUCAUUGUGUUGAGUAAGGAUUAUGAUUAUGCUCGUGGAAAUUACUUAUGAUUGAGUAUUGGUGCUAGUUGAGGUAGUUAGAUAUUGGAACAAGUCUGGUUAUAGCUGAUUUUCCCUUGUCAUGACGUAUUUACUUGUACCGUUUAUUCCCUUGCUGGGACUUUCCUUGUGAUUGGUGUUAAACUGUAUAUGAAGAUCGGGUUGCACGCCGCAACAAUAUUUUGUUUGGAUCGGGUUGCACGCCGCAAUAAUAUUAUGUUUGGAUCGGGUUGCACGCCGCAACAAUAUUAUGUUUGGAUCGGGUUGCACGCUGCAAGAAUAUUAUGUUUGGAUCGGUUUGCACGCCGCAAUAAUAUUAUGCUUGGAUCGGGUUGCACGCCGCAACAGUGAUAAAUGAUAUGGAUCGUGUUGCAUGCCGCAACAGUGUUUUUAUGAUUUGGAUCGGGUUGCACGCCGCAACAGUAGAUAAUGAAAGUGUUUAUUGGUUGGUUACGAUUUCCUUAUUCUUUGCUAUGAAUUCUAAGUUGCCUUUAUGUUUUUCUCUUGAAUUACUAUUGAUAAAUGAUAUUAACCCGCAACAUGUCCCCCUCCCAUAUUUACUUGUUUAUUCCUAUUUUAUUUUCCGCUGCCUAUUAUAUAACUGCACAGGUUUAUUUGGUAGUCUGGUCCUAGCCUCAUCACUACUUCGCGGGGUUAAGCCAGGCACUUACCGGCACAUGGGGUUGGUUGUGCUGAUACUACACUCUGCACUAUGUGUAGAUCCCCGAGCGACAGCUUUUGGACCGUAGCAUUGGGUGGCUGCCUUCAGUCCAGUUAGAGAUCCCGAGGUAGUCCUGCAGGCGUUCGCAGGCCCGUCAUUCUUAUAUGUAUUCUAUUUUCAUUUGCUUCCGAGACAGAUAGUAAUUUCUUUUCAGACAUUUGUAUGUAGUAUUCGUAGACAGUCUGUGAUUUUGUGACACCGGAUUCCGGGUAGAGAUGUAUGUUGGCAUUGUCGUAUUGUUUAUGGUUAAUUUAUCAGAUUAAGUCUUCCGCUUGUAUUUAUUUAUCGUUAGUAUUUCAUUGUUAAUCACAUGAUAGUUUAAAUUGUUAAAAAGGGUUAGUAAAUGAUUUAUUGAUCCUAUAAUAUGCGGCUUGGCUAUCUUUCACGAGUGGAUGCCAUCACGACUCCCGAGGGUGGGAAAUCCGGGCCGGGACAAGUUGGUAUCAGAGCUUUAGGUUACAUAGGUGUCACAAUUCAUGGACAAGCUUAGUAGAGUCUGAGGGAUCGGUAUAGAGACGUUUGUAUUUAUCCCCCAAAGGCUACAUAGUUAGGAAAAACUUCACAUUUAUUCUUUCCUGUCGUGCGGUUUGGUUCCUCAAUGCUAAUUAAAUUUUACUCUGUUCUUCGCAGAUGGCGAGAACACGUGCUUCCUUAUCCACCGAUCAGCAACCCGAGCCCCCAACAGCAGCUCCCACGAGGGGCAGAGGGCAAGGCCGAGGCCGUGCUAGAGGCCGAGGUAGGGGCAGAGCUCAGCCCAGAGCAGCAGCACUAGCGGUGGAGCCUCAUGUUGACUUUGAUGAUGAGGUUCCGGUCUAGACAGAUCUGGUGGUCCCAGCUCAGGUCCUAGAGGGGUUUAUUGCUACCCCAGUACUCCAGGAUGCUCUGGUCCAUUUAGUGGGACUUAUGGAGAGUGUCACCUAGGUAGGCUUUCUUCCUGUAGUACCAGCCAUAUCUCAAGCUGGAGGAGGAGGCCAAACUCCUGAUACUCGCACUCUGGAGCAAAUGGCUCCCUUGUUUCAGACUCCAGCAGCUCAGCCAGUUGGAGCAGUUCAGCCGGGCGUGGUAGCUCAGACCGGUGAUGGAGCAGCUAUGUCUGCCGAUGCUUUAUGGAGAUUGGACAGGUUCACCAAGCUCUUCCCUACUACUUUCAGCGGUGCAUCUUCUAAGAAUCCCCAGGAUUUUCUAGAUAGCUGUCAUGAGGUUCUCAGGAACAUGGGGAUAGUGGAGACCAAUGGGGUCGAUUUUGCUACUUUUUGCUUAUCUGGAUCCGCCAAGAUUUGGUGGAGAGAUUNNNNNNNNNNNNNNNNNNNNNCAUUCAGGUUGACAAAUGCCCCAACAUCUUUUAUGAAUUUGAUGAACCAAGUGUUCAAGCUUUACUUGGAUUCGUUUGUGAUAGUCUUCAUUGAUGAUAUUUUGAUUUAUUCCCGCAGCCGGGAGGAGCACGAGCAACAUCUUAGAGUGGUUCUUCAGACUCUGAGGGAUAGUCAGUUGUAUGCCAAGUUUUCGAAGUGUGAGUUCUGGUUGGGUUCAGUUGCAUUCCUGUGUCAUAUUGUAUCCUUAGAGGGUAUUCAGGUUGAUCCGAAGAAGAUUGAGGCAGUCGAGAACUGUCCUAGACCAGCAUCAGCUACAGAGAUCCGAAGUUUCUUGGUUUUGGCAGGGUAAUACCGUCGGUUUAUGGAGGGGUUCUCAUCUAUUGCAGCCCCGAUGACCUGGUUAACCUAGAAGGGUGCCCAGUUCAGGUGGUCGGAUGAGUGCGAGGUGAGCUUUCAGAAGCUCAAGACAGCUUUGACUACGACACCGAUGUUGGUUUUUCCCACAGGUUCAGGGCCAUAUACAGUUUAUUGUGAUGUAUCUCUUAUUGGACUUGGUGCGGUGUUGAUGCAGGAUGGCAAGGUCAUUGCCUAUGCUUCGCGACAAUUGAAGAUUCAUGAGAAGAACUAUCCGGUUCAUGAUUUGGAGUUGGCAGCCAUUGUUCACGCGUUGAAGAUUUGGAGACAUUAUCUGUAUGGUGUGGCUUGUGAGGUGUUCACGGAUCACAAGAGUCUGCAAUACUUAUUCAAGUAGAAGGAGUUGAAUUUGAGGUAGAGAAGGUAGUUGGAGCUAUUGAAAGACUACGAUAUCACCAUCUUAUACCAUCCGGGAAAGGCCAAUGUGGUGGCCGAUGCUUUGAGUAGGAAGUCAGCCAGUAUGGGCAGUCUUUCUUAUAUCCCGGUUGGUGAGAGGCCGCUUGCUUUGGAUGUUCAGGCUUUGGACAAUUAUUUCGUGAGGUUGGAUAUUUUUGAGCCCAGCCGCGUGUUAGCUUGUACGGUCUCUCGUUCUUCUCUAUCAGAGCGUAUAUGUGAUCGGCAGUAUGAUGAUCCCCAUUUGUGUGUCCUCAGAGACACGGUGCAACGCGGAGGUGCCAAGCAUGUUACCUUAGGUGACGAUGGAGUUCUGAGAUUGUAGGGUCGAGUUUGUGUGCCUAAUGUGGAUGGACUCCAAGUGUUGAUUUUAGAGGAGGCCCAUAGCUCCCAGUACUCUAUUCAUCCGGGCGCUGCUAAGAUGUAUUAGGAUUUGCGGCAGCAUUACUGGUGGAGGAGAAUGAAAAAGGACAUUNNNNNNNNNNNNNNNNGUUUCAGAGGUUGAGCUUCCCGAGUGGAAGUGGGAGCGGAUCACUAUGGACUUCGUUGUUGGUCUCCUACGGACUCAGAGAAAGUUCGACGCAGUGUGAGUUAUUGUUGAUAGGCUGACCAAGUCAGCCCAUUUCAUUCAUGUGGCAGUCUCCUAUUUUUCCGAGAUGUUAGCUGAGACCUAUAUGCGGGAGAUUGUUCGUCUUCAUGGUGUGCCCGUGUCUAUCAUUUCGGACUGAGGUACGCAGUUUACCUCAUGUUUCUAGAGGGCUUCAGCGAGAGUUGGGCACAUAGGUUGAGUUGAGCACAGCAUUUCAUUCUCAGACGGAUGGGCAGUCCGAGCGGACUAUUCAGAUUUUGGAGGAUAUGCUCUGAGCUUAUGUCAUUAACUUUAGAGGGUCAUGGGAUCAGUUUUUGCCUUUUGCAGAGUUUGCCUACAACAACAGCUACCGGUCGAAUAUCUAGAUGGCUCCUUAUGAGGCUUUGUAUGGUAGGCGGUGUUGAUCGCUUGUUGGAUGGUUUGAACCAGAGGAGGCUCGGUUGUUGGGUACAGAUCUAGUUUAGGAUGCCUUGGACAAGGUCAGGAUUAUUCAGGAUAGGCUUCGUACAGCUCAGUCAAGGCAAAAGAGUUAUGCCGACCGCAAGGUUUGUGAUUUGGCAUUCAUGGUUGGUGAGCGGGUAUUGCUUCGAGUGUUGCCUAUGAAGGGUGUGAUGAGAUUUGGGAAGAAGGGAAAGCUUAGCCCUAGGUUUAUUGGCCCGUUUGAGAUUCUUGAUCGAGUGGGAGAGGUGGCUUACAGACUUGCGUUGCCGCUGAGCUUAUCAGCCAUACAUCCAGUGUUUCAUGUGUCCAUGCUUCGGAAGUAUCACGACAAUCCAUCCCACGUGUUAGAUUUUAGCACUGUCCAGUUGGACAAGGACUUGUCUUACGAGGAGGAGCCGGUAGCUAUUCUACACCGGCAGGUUCGUCAGUUGAGAUCGAAGAGUUUUCCUUCUGCCCGUGUUUAGUGGAGAGGUCAUCCUGCUGAGGCAUUGACCUGGGAGUCCGAGUUCGAUAUGCAGAGCCGUUAUCCCCAUCUUUUUCCCGAUCAGGUACUUCCUUCUUAUGUCCGUUCGAGGACGAACGAUUGUUUUAGAGGUGGGGAAUGUGAUGACCCUUGGGUCAUCACUUGUUUUAGAAAUGAAUUUUGUGUUUCGAGGCCUUAAAAACCUCUUUCUGUCCUACCUCAAUUUACGUGCGCAGUCCGGGCGUGUAGCCGGAAAGCCAUUAUAUGAAAAUCUGUGAAAAUGAGGAAUUUUUCCUAUGGGACUUGGGCGUAUGCCCGGAAUCGAAUUUUGAGGUCCCAACCCAAGAAAUGAAUUUUUGAAAGAAAUUAUUUUCCGGAAUUAAUUAUGAGUUUUUGAAAGUGAAGUGUGUUUGAAACCAUUGGUAUCGGGCCCGCAUUUUGGUUCCGAAGCUCGGUACAUGUCUUAUAGAUGAUUUGAGUCGAGCCUGUGAAAAUUGAUAAGAAACGGAUUUGAAAUAAUGUGAAUCGGACCUUAUUUGAGAAAUUGGGCAAAUUUGAAGUUCUUAAGAAAUUCCAUGAUUUUGAUGCUAAAUUCAUAGUUGUUGAUGUCAUUUUGGUGAUUUGAAUGCACGAGCGAGUUCGUAUGAUGUUUUUAGGUUGGUGUGCAUGUUUGGUUUGAAGCCCUGAGGGCUCGGGUGAGUUUUGGAUAGGCCAGGGAGUGAAAAUUUCAUUUAGGAAUUUGCUGGUAUGUUGCAGGCCCGCAGGCUUCGCAUUGGCUCGCAAAUGCGAGAAGUGGCAUAGGCUGCCUUAUUCGCAAAUGCGAAUGAAUGGUUGCAAAUGUGACAUCGCAAUUGCGAAGGCACAAUCGCAAAUGCGAAGAGGCUUGGUUUUCCUCAGGGUUCGCAAAUGCGAACCCAUGUUCGCAAAUGCGAACCCAUGUUCGCAAAUGCGACAUCUGCAACCUGCAAUUUUAUAUCUUCGCCGAAAAUCUUUCAUUUUUCACACUUUUUUCAAAACCAAAACACACUUGGGCAAUUUUUCAAAGAACUCUUCUUCCAAAUCAAUUGUAAGUCAAUUUUUACUCGUUUUCUUCAAUCAUUAACAUCUUUUCACAUGAUUUCAACUCAAAAUUAAUGAUUUUCAUGGGAGAAAUUGGGUGUUUUGAGUAGAACCUAGGUUUUUAAAGAAUUGGGGAUUUGGACCUCGAUUUGAGGUCCGAUUUCAAAAUAAAUUAUAUAUUUGGGUUCGUGAGGGAAUGGGUAAUCGGGUUUUGGUUCGAACCUCGGGUUUUGAUUAUGUGGGCCCAGGGGCGAUUUUUGACUUUUUGGGUAAAACUUUGGAAAACUCGUUUUCAUGCAUUAGAAUUGAUUCAUUUAGCAUUUAUUGAUAUAAUUAAGUAACUUGUGGCUAGAUACGAGCGAAUUGGUGGUGGAAUCAAGAGGUAAAGUGAUAGUAGAGUCUUGAAUUGUUUUCGUGGCAUCGAGGUAAGUGUUUGGUCUAACCUUAACUUGAGGGAUUAGGAGUUGUGUCAUAUUUGCUACAUGUUACUUGUUGAGUACGCGAUAUAGGCAUGGUGACGAAUAUCUAUAUGUUGGUAUCGAGCAUGAUCGUGAGUCUUAAAGUGAAAUUGCUAUGUUCUUAAUAAAUACUACGAAUGCCUAAGUUGUUGAUUCACUGUGUUGAGUAAGGAUUAUGAUUAUUCCCGUGGAAAUUACUUAUGAUUGAGUAUUGGUGCUAGUUGAGGUAUUUAGAUGUUGGAACAAGUUUGGUUAUAGCUGAUUUUCCCUUGUCGCGACAUAUUUACUUAUACCGUUGAUUCCCUUGCCGGGAUAGUGUUGUUUCUUUAUUGAUCCCUUGCCGGGACUUCCGUUGUGAUUGGUGUUGAACUGUAUAUGUGGAUCGGGUUGUGCGCCACAAUAAUAUUAUAUUUGGAUUGGGUUACGCGCCACAACAAUAUUAUAUUUGGAUCGGGUUGGACGCCGCAAUAAUAUUAUGUUUGGAUCGGGUUGCACGCCGCAACAAUAUUGUGUUUGGAUCGGGUUGGACACCGCAACAAUAUUAUGUUUGGAUCGGGUUGUACGUUGCAACAAUGAUAAAUGAUAUGGAUCGGGUUGCAUGCCACAACAGUGUUUUUAUGAUUUGGAUCGGGUUGCGCGCCGCAACAGUAGAUAAUGGAAAUGUUUAUUGGUUGGUUACGAUUUCCUUAUUCUUUGCUGUGAAUUCUAAGUUGCCUUUACGUUUUUCUCUUGAAUUACUAUUGAUAAAUGAUAUUCCCUCGCAGUAUGUCCCCCUCCCAUCUUUACUUGUUUAUUCCUGUUUUAUUUUUCGCUGCCUAUUAUAUAACUGCACAGAUUUAUUUGGUAGUCUGGUCCUAGCCUUGUCACUACUUUGCCGGGGUUAGGCCAGACACUUACCAGCACAUGGGGUCGGUUGUGCUGAUACUACACUCUGCACUAUGUGCAGAUCCCAGAGCUGUAGCUUUUGGACCAUAGCAUUGGGUGGCUGCCUUCAGUCCAGUUAGAGAUCCUGAGGUAGUUCUGCAGGCGUCCGCAAGCCCGGCGUUCUCUUAUAUCUUUAUAUGUAUUCUGUUUUCAUUUGCUUCCGAGACAGAUAAUACUUUCUUUUUAGACAUUUGUAUGUAGUAUUCGUAGACAUUCUGUGAUAUUGUGACACCAAAUUCCGGGUAGAGAUGUAUGUUGGCAUUGUCGUACUAUUUAUGGUUAAUUUAUCAGAUUAAGUAUUCCGCUUGUAUUUAUUUAUCAUUAAUAUUUUACUGUUAAUCACAUGAUAGUUUAAAUUGUUAAAAACGGUUAGUAAAUGAUUUAGUGAUCCUAUAAUACGCGGCUUGCAUAGCUUUCACGAGUAGGCGCCAUCACAACUCCCAAGGGUGGGAAAUCCGGGUCGUGACAACAACCUCACCUCCCCCUCCCCAAUAUAAUAAAACCCUAAUUUUUCGCUCUUCAGACAUUAUGACAAAAGGCAAAAUACUUAACAAAAAAUUUCAGAACACUUGAAGAUGUUUAUGAAUGGAUUUUUACAAAAUCGUCCACCUCUUUAAAUAAGGCAAAAACCAGCCCGGAGGUUCAAUUAUUAGAGGUAUAGCAUUUUAAAAAAAAAAACGCUAUACCAGUUGAAUUAUUGUUAUGUCAGUUAACUACAAAAGAAUUAUUUGUGGGCCCACUUAAUAUAUAUAACAUUUUAGUAAAAAACGCUAUACAUAUAGCGUCUUUUAAAAGACGCUAUACUUAACUGGCCAAACGACCGUUAAAGUAUAACGUCUUUUAAUUAAUUUUUUUAACACAUUUCGGUCACUUGAGUCAAAAUGAACAAUAUUUUGGUUCCAGACUCUCUCUCUCUCCCCCCCCCCUUUUAUUUCUUUUGGGUUUUCUUUUUCAAGAGACUACGAUGUACUUACUUUGUAAAAUUAGACGAAUCAAUGUAAUAUCCUAUACUUAAGUUGCAUUGUUGAAAACUGUUAUGGCUUUAAUUAGGGUUUUUUUUCUUUCUUAUGCACUAUAUGAAAUCUUAUUACCAAAAUUGUCUCAGUUUUGAAAAUUACCCGCCCUAAAUAAGAAUUGCUUAUAAUUUAUAUACAAUCCAUUAUUAGUGCCUUAAAUUAGAGGAUUAAAUUAUACCCUUUUCCUUUUUUUUUCUCUUCUCUUCUCUUUUCAUAUUUUCUACCGCCUCUCUCCAUAUACUAUCCAUUAUUAGUGCCUUAAAUUAAGGGAUUUAGUGAUAUCAUUUUCCUAUUUUCUCUCCUCUCCUCUUUCUAUAAGCGUAAAAGGUUAACAAAAAAAUGUUACCAUAUAUACAAAUACAAGAGAGAUUGAAAACUUCUAGGUUUUGAAUAUCAGAUUCAUUUUUGGCCAAUUCACUUUAUUCGCCCAACAAAUCACUUUAAUUCCUUCAGCAUAGAGAUGGCAACAAUGGCCAAGAGAAAGAAAGCUUAAUACACCGUCAUCUCCAAUAGUGACCUUAUUGGCAUCGCCGUACUAAACUAUAUCCUUAAGGACAAAUAGAUGGGGGUCGUCAUACUGACACUCUCUGAUACGAUCAUAAAGAGAAGACCGAGAAACCACAUAAGCCAAAACUCGGCUCGGCUCAGAAACAUCUAAUCUAACAAACUAGUUGGCCAAGACCUGAACAUCCAAGGCUAAUGGCCUCUCUGCUACAAACAGAUAUGAUAAACUACCCAAGCUCUUCGCUUUGUGACUCAAGGCAUCAGCCACCACAUUGACUUUUUUGGGAUGAUAUAGAAGGGUGUUAUGAGGUUCAGGAAGAAGGGAAAGUUGAGCCUUAGGUAUAUCGGGCCCUUUAAGAUUCUUGAGAGGAUUGGAGAGGUGGCUUACCAACUUGCACUUCCACCCAGUCUAGCUGUAGUUCAUCCAGUAUUCCAUAUUUCUAUGAUCCAGAAGUAUCACGUCGAUCCGUCUUAUGUGUUAGAUUUCAGCUCAGUCCAGUUGGACAAGGAUUUGUCUUAUGUUGAGGAGUCGGUGGUCAUUUUGGACAAGCAGGAUCAAAAGUUGAGGUCGAAGAGCAUUGCUUUAGUGAAGGUUCAGUGGAGAGGUCAGCCAGUCGAGGAGGCGACCUGGGAGACCGAGCAUGAUAUGUGUAGCCGUUAUCCUCAUCUUUUUACCACUUCAGGUAUGUCUCUAUAGUCGUUCGAGGACGAAUAUUUGUUUUAAUAGGGGGAUGAUGUAAUGACUCGGCCGGUCAUUUUGAGUAUUUUAGCCCCGAUCCCCUAAAUUUUGCUUCCUCUAUGCUAUAUUGUAGUUAUGUAACUUUAUAGAGUGGUUGGUUUUGGUAUCGGGUAAGUUUCAGAGUGAAUUUGGACACAUUGUCCCUAAGUUAGAAGGUUAAGUCGUAGGAGUUGACGUAGUUUGACCUGAGUGAAGAUGACUCCUGGAUGGAGUUUUGAAGGUUCCAAUAGCUCCAUAUGGUGAUUUUGGUCUUAGGAGCAUGCUCGGAUGUUGAUUUAGAGGUCUGUAGGCCGUUUUGGCAUAAAUUGACGAAAGUUGGAAAGUUGGAGGAUUUUGAAAAAAUUGACCGAGUGUUGACUUUGGUGUUAUCGGAUUUGGAUUCUAAUUUCGAAAGUUGAAAUAGUUCCGUAAUUUCAUUUAUGACUUGUGUGCAAAAUUUGGUAUCAAUCGGAGUUGUUUUAACUCGGUGUUGGUUUCGGAAUUUAGAAGUUCAUAGUUCAUAGGCUUGAUUUGGGUUGCGAUUCGUAGAAUUUACGUUGUUUGCAGUGAUUUUAGGCCUCGAGUACGUCCGUUAUGUGGUUUGGAACUUAUUGGUAUUCGGACGGGGUCCUGAAGGCCCCGGGUGUAAUUCGAAUCAAAUCCAGAACAAUUCGGACUUGCUGAUUUUUGCUGAAAGUGCCCAGCUUCUAGUGUCAUCGCACAUGCAGAGAGUUUGACCGCGGGUGCGUACUCGCAAAAGCGAGCACUUACCCGCAGAUGCGGAAGUAAGGUCGCAGGUGCGAUUUAACUAGGUAGAAAAGGGAAAAAUUCGAGGGUUUGAUUCAUAAUUCAUUUUUGUGACUUAGAGAGCUCGGUUUAAGGUGAACUUUCGAGGGAUUUUCAAAGAGAACUUUGGGGUAAGGAUUUCUAACUCGUUUUUGAUUAAUUCACAUAAUCUAUUGAUAAUAUCAUCAAUAAAGAGAAGACCGAGAAACCACAUAAGCCAAAACUCGGCUCGGCUCAGAAACAUCUAAUCUAACAAACUAGUUGGCCAAGACCUGAACAUCCAAGGCUAAUGGCCUCUCUGCUACAAGCAGAUAUGAUAAACUACCCAAGCUCUUCGCUUUGUGACUCAAGGCAUCAGCCACCACAUUGACUUUUUUGGGAUGAUAUAGGUGUUAUGAGGUUCAAGAAGAAGGGAAAGUUGAGCCCUAGGUAUAUCGGGCCCUUUAAGAUUCUUGAGAGGAUUGGAGAGGUGGCUUACCAACUUGCACUUCCACCCAGUCUAGCUGUAGUUCAUCCAGUAUUCCAUAUUUCUAUGAUCCAGAAGUAUCACGUCGAUCCGUCUUAUGUGUUAGAUUUCAGCUCAGUCCAGUUGGACAAGGAUUUGUCUUAUGUUGAGGAGUCGGCGGUCAUUUUGGACAAGCAGGAUCAAAAGUUGAGGUCGAAGAGCAUUGCUUCAGUGAAGGUUCAGUGGAGGGGUCAGCCAGUCGAGGAGGCAACCUGGGAGACCGAGCAUGAUAUGUGUAGCCGUUAUCAUCAUCUUUUUACCACUUCAGGUAUGUCUCUAUAGUCGUUCGAGGAUGAAUAUUUGUUUUAUUGGGGGAUGAUGUCACGACUCGGCCGGUCAUUUUGAGUAUUUUAGCCCCGAUCCCCUAAAUUUUACUUCCUCUAUGCUAUAUUGUAGUUAUGUAACUUUAUAGAGUGGUUGGUUUUGGUAUCGGGUAAGUUUCAGAGUGAAUUUGGACACAUUGUCCCUAAGUUAGAAGGUUAAGUCGUAGGAGUUGACCGUAGUUUGACCUGAGUGAAGAUGACUCCUGGAUGGAGUUUUGAAGGUUCCAAUAGCUCCAUAUGGUGAUUUUGGUCUUAGGAGCAUGCUCGGAUGUUGAUUUAGAGGUCUGUAGGUCGUUUUGGCAUAAAUUGACGAAAGUUGAAAAGUUGGAGGAUUUUGAAAAAAUUGACCGGGUGUUGACUUUGGUGUUAUCGGAGUUGGAUUCUGAUUUCGAAAGUUGAAAUAGUUCCGUAAUUUCAUUUAUGACUAUCAAUCGGAGUUGUUUUAACUCGGCGUUGGUUUCGGAAUUUAGAAGUUCAUAGUUCAUAGGCUUGAAUUUGGGUUGCGAUUCGUAGAAUUUACGUUGUUUGCAGUGAUUUUAGGCCUCGAGUACGUCCGUUAUGUGGUUUGGAACUUAUUGGUAUAUUCGGACGGGGUCCCGAAGGCCCCGGGUGUAAUUUGAAUCGAAUCCAGAACAAUUCGGACUUACUGAUUUUUGCUGAAAGUGCCCAGCUUCUAGUGUCAUCGCACAUGCGGAGAGUUUGACCGCGGGUGCGUACUCGCAAAAGCGAGCACUUACCCGCAGAUGCGGCAGAAAGGUCGCAGGUGCGAUUUAACUAGGUAGAAAAGGGAAAAAUUCGAGGGUUUGAUUCAUAAUUCAUUUUUGUGACUUAGAGAGCUCGGUUUAAGGUGAACUUGCGAGGGAUUUUCAAAGAGAACUUUGGGGUAAGGAUUUCUAACUCGUUUUUGAUUAAUUCACAUAAUCUAUUGAUAAUCAUCAAUAAAGAGAAGACCGAGAAACCACAUAAGCCAAAACUCGGCUCAGAAACAUCUAAUCUAACAAACUAGUUGGCCAAGACCUGAACAUCCAAGGCUAAUGGCCUCUCUGCUACAAGCAGAUAUGAUAAACUACCCAAGCUCUUCGCUUUGUGACUCAAGGCAUCAGCCACCACAUUAACUUUUUUGGGAUGAUAUAGAAGGGUGUUAUGAGGUUCAGGAAGAAGGGAAAGUUGAGCCUUAGGUAUAUCGGGCCCUUUAAGAUUCUUGAGAGGAUUGGAGAGGUGGCUUACCAACUUGCAUUUCCACCCAGUCUAGCUGUAGUUCAUCCAGUAUUCCAUAUUUCUAUGAUCCAGAAGUAUCACGUCGAUCCGUCUUAUGUGUUAGAUUUCAGCUCAGUCCAGUUGGACAAGGAUUUGUCUUAUGUUGAGGAGUCGGUGGUCAUUUUGGACAAGCAGGAUCAAAAGUUGAGGUCGAAGAGCAUUGCUUCAGGGAAGGUUCAGUGGAGGGGUCAGCCAGUCGAGGAGGCGACCUGGGAGACCGAGCAUGAUAUGUGUAGCCGUUAUCCUCAUCUUUUUACCACUUCAGGUAUGUCUCUAUAGUCGUUCGAGGACGAAUAUUUGUUUUAAUAGGGGAUGAUGUAACGACUCGGCCGGUCAUUUUGAGUAUUUUAGCCCCGAUCCCCUAAAUUUUGCUUCCUCUAUGCUAUAUUGUAGUUAUGUAACUUUAUAGAGUGGUUGGUUUUGGUAUCGGGUAAGUUUCAGAGUGAAUUUGGACACAUUGUCCCUAAGUUAGAAGGUUAAGUCGUAGGAGUUGACCGUAGUUUGACCUGAGUGAAGAUGACUCCUGGAUGGAGUUUUGAAGGUUCCAAUAGCUCCAUAUGGUGAUUUUGGUCUUAGGAGCAUGCUCGGAUGUUGAUUUAGAGGUCUGUAGGUCGUUUUGGCGUAAAUUGACGAAAGUUGGAAAGUUGGAGGAUUUUGAAAAAAUUUGGCUGGGAGUUGACUUUGGUGUUAUCGGAGUUGGAUUCUGAUUUCGAAAGUUGAAAUAGUUCCGUAAUUUCAUUUAUGACUUGUGUGCAAAAUUUGGUAUCAAUCGGAGUUGUUUUAACUCGGCGUUGGUUUCGGAAUUUAGAAGUUCAUAGUUCAUAGGCUUGAAUUUGGGUUGCGAUUCGUAGAAUUUACGUUGUUUGCAGGAUUUUAGGCCUCGAGUACGUCCGUUAUGUGGUUUGGAACUUAUUGGUAUAUUCGGACGGGGUCCCGAAGGCCCCGGGUGUAAUUCGAAUCGAGUCCAGAACAAUUCGGACUUGCUGAUUUUUGCUGAAAGUGCCCAGCUUCUAGUGUCAUCGCACAUGCGGAGAGUUUGACCGCGGGUGCGUACUCGCAAAAGCGAGCACUUACCCGCAGAUGCGGCAGUAAGGUCGCAGGUGCGAUUUAACUAGGUAGAAAAGGGAAAAAUUCGAGGGUUUGAUUCAUAAUUCAUUUUUGUGACUUAGAGAGCUCGGUUUAAGGUGAACUUUCGAGGGAUUUUCAGAGAGAACUUUGGGGUAUGGAUUUCUAACUCGUUUUUGAUUAAUUCACAUAAUCUAUUGAUAAUAUCAUCAUUUAAUUAGUGCUUUGGAGUUGGAAAUUGGGAAAAAUUAUUGGUAGAAACUCCUUAGGCUAAAUUUUUGAGUUUUGAAAGGCGAAUUUAGGUCGCAUUUGAAUAAUUCUUGUAUAGCUAAACUCGAUAUCGAAUGGUGUUCGGUUUUUGUAGUUUUGGUCGAAUUCCGAUAGGCGGGCCCGGGUUGACUUUUUGGGGCGAUUUUUCAAUUCUUUGUGAAGAUCGUAAUUUCUUUGUUAGAAUUAGUUUCCUAUAGUUAUAUUUAUACUAUGAAAUUGUUUUGGCUAGAUUCGAGCCGUUCGGAGUUGGAAAAUUGAGGGAAAUGCCUUCUAGUUGAUUGAUUUAGCGUGGUUUAAGGUAAGCAACUUGUCUAACCUUGUGUGGGAAAAUUUUUCCUUAGGAUUUAGUAUUGUUGUGAUAAUUGUGAUAUGUGAAGGCCGUGUAUGCAAGGUGACGAGUGUGUACACGGGCUAAAUAUUGAAAUUCCGAUUUUUAGCUAUGUAGUUUUCUUUCAUGUUUUAAUUGAGUUACUUUAACAUGUUAUAGCUACCAUAUUUAGUUUAAUUACACAUGUAUACUUGUCGUAUCUCUUAUUUGCAACUUGUCCUACGUGUUUAGUUGAAUUACUUGCUUUCUUUUAUUCCAUAAUCAUUAUUUAACUGUGAAUUCUUUACUUGAAAUUACUAUUCUUGGAAUAUCUUGUUGUUGAGUUUGGUAUUGAGUUGCAAAGGCAGUGGUUUCUAUUGAGGCAAAGUGUAAGUUGUGAAAUAUCAUUUUAUUGAGUUACUUUCCGGUUGUUAUUGUUGAGACUUUGUGUACAUUGUGGUUGAGUAGUGGGCUCCUUAUUGUGAAAUUACAUUAUUGUUGGCCUUUUCUGGUAAGUUGUGAUAUUGGACACUUGAUGUGCGAAUUGUGAUACGUUGUGAUAUUGAUACGCAUGCGGUGGUAUAAGGUCUGGGUGUUGAAAUGCAUGCGGUGAGAUAAGGUCAGCUUGAUACGCGUGGCUAGCAGGGGAACUACUAGACACCAUGCGUUGUGAUAAGGUGGGCUAAAACAUGGGGUGCUAAUUCGGGAAAAAUAAUUCUCAAAACUAAAUGUAAAAGGCUCCCGAGGAGAUAUAACGAAAGACUGUAAGUUAAUUUUAUGAUCUGGGACUGUGAGGCGGUACCUUGGUAGUAGCCCUUGUUGAUCUUUCUCAAUUUGCUGUAUUUGUCUUGGUUGUCCGUUUCCUUAGCAUGUAAAUCUUUAUUUCCUUUCGUGUUGUAUUAACUGUCUUGAUUCUGUGUUGUUAACUUUUCGUAAAUUUCUUAUUGUUUCAUUUCCAAUGUCAUUGUCAUUAUAUCGUUAUACCUUUCGUCUAGUUUUUUAUUAUCUUCAGUAGGGCCUUGACCUGACCUUGUUACUACUCUACCGAGGUUAGGCUUGGUACUUACUGGGUACCGUUAUGGAGUACUCAUAUUAUACUUCUCAACAUCUUUUUAUGUAGAUCCAGGUAUUUCCUAUCAGUCUCGACAUUAGUGAGCUGAGGCUGCCUUGGAGAGUUCAAGGUACACAUGCCCGCGUCCGCAGGCCUCGGAUUCCCUUUCUAUCAUGUUCUUCCUUAUUUCAUUACACUAUUAUAGACACUGAUAUAUAGGAUUGUUCAGCACUGUUACUUAGAGCUUGUGACUUACAUUUCACCAGGUUUUGGGAGUUGUACAUAUCGAGUUGCAUAUUUUAUUUAUGUAAUUGCUGAAGUUUUGAGAUUCUAAGUUGUAUUUCAGUUACUCUGCAUAUUAUUAGGCUUACUUAGUCUUAGAGGCUAGGUAUCGUCACGACAUCCUACGAAGGAAACUUGGGGGCGUGACAUUAUUUUUAAGUAUUAGGACUUUUAACUAGUACUAUUAAGUAGGAGUAUUGUGCUCGUAAAUUUAAUCCUUUGGGAAAAAAAUAAAUUUCGUACAAAUUUGAUACAUCUGCAAAUUAAAAAAUAAAUUUCGUACAAAUUUGACACAUUUACAAUAAUACAUAAACUAAAAAUAAAUUUUAUACAACUAAUUAUAUAGUAUACAACAUAUUUACAACUUAUCUACAACUUUCAUACAUUAUUUUUACCCAAUAAAUACAUCUACAACAUCAUACAACUUAAAUACAAUGUCUUUUAUAUGUAUUUUGUAUGUAUAUUGUAUGUCAUUGUAUGUCUUCUUUUCUUAAUUCGGCCAAAAUCAAGUCUAAUCUUCACCAAUACCCUCAAAACUGAGACAUAAACUUCAAAGAAUAUUCUCAAUUGUUUGCAACAACACCAAUCCAAAGAAAUUAUAGUUUUUAAAAAUCCAAAUUCGAAUUUAAAGCUUCGAAGUAUUUUAAUGGCUGUCAAUGGUGGAGAAUCAAACACCUCCAAAAUUUAUUGAUUGACAAUUUUAAUUCGAACAUCAAUUGUGCAACAUGAAAGAAAAUGCUAAAUUAAAACUCUAUACAACAAGAAAUCAUAAAAAAACAGAAAACAUCAAAGGAAGAAAAAUUGGGGGACAAAAUAUAUAUAUAUAUAUAUAUAUAUAUAUAUAUAUAUAUAUAUAUAUAUAUAUAUAUAUAUAUAUAUAUAUAUAUAUAGAGAGAGAGAGAGAGAGAGAGAGAGAGAGAGAGUGGGCAGGUAUAAAGGGAUGAGGAAAUAACUAAUAUUCCUUAUUCAAUUCCUAAUUUAAAGAGAUACUAAUUUAAAACUUAUUUGUAUAUAAUUGGUAAAAUGUAUAUGACCAUGUAAUUAAGUAGGCGUUUGGACAUGAAUUCCAUAUAUAUUUUUUUAAUUUGGAAUUUCACUAAAAUUUGAAUUGAAGAUGAAGUUGUGUUUGGUUAUAAUUUUUGCAACAUAUUUAGAUGUCUUCUUUUAAACAUAUUUUGCAACUAAAAACUAACAAUCUUCUCAUUUUCAAUUGAGUCAAUUGAAAAAUUGGUCAAAAUGUAUUUUCAAGUGAGAUUGGAAAAAUGGUAAGAUUUUGAUAACCAAACAUUUUUUUCAAAAAAAAGGAAAAUUUUCUUAUGUCCAAACGGGCUCUAAAUUAAAACUUGAUUAGGGAUGGUAAUAUGUAGUAUAGGAAGGUAAAUUUUUUAAUUAGUAUGUCUUUUGUUUUGAUAUCAAUAAGCAUUCUUAUGUUUGUAUACUUGAGUCGCAUUUCUUGCUUUUGAGGGUCAAAAUCUCUUAUCUAAUUUAAACCUUUUACAUAUAUUUCUCAGAUUUGCUAAUAACUCUUCUACAUGAUCUACUUUUCAUGUAAUUUAUUAAUAUUUAAAUUGCAUUUUUCUAGAAAUAAUUAAAUCUUAUUUCAAAUAUAAUAUUACCAUAGAGUUUCCAUGAGCAAGUUAUAGUGGACAAUGUACUUGAAAUAAAAAAUUAGGAGAAAAAAUGCAAAACAUACAGAAAUUUCAAGAAAAAAGCUGUUGGUCAAUUAUUCCUCCCAAGUUGCAACUUCUUCAUAAGACCUCUUCAAAUGUACAAAAGAUUUCCCAACCUCAUAAGUCAACCUCUUUUACAUGGUCUUAUCCCUGACUUUCCAAAACCACUCUUGCUGAAAACUCCAAGACUUCCAAAUAACUGGCUGAUCUUGAAAUAAUUAUCGACUUCCAUAGUACCAAACACACCACACACACACAAAAAACAAAAAAAAAGCGAUGAAUUAUUUUUCUUACGUAGAUUUUUCUUUUUAUAAUAUUUCCACUAAUUCUCAAGAGUCGUUAAUACACAUAAAAGGCCGGCUGGCUGGGUUGAAAUUCUCUCUGGGCACCAGCACUCGAAAUGUUACAAAACUAGCUAAUCUUUACAAAACAGAAGAAACAGGUUGGCUCUCUUAGCAAGGUUUCAACCACAGAAAUACAGGGAGCUUGAAAAGUGGCUUAACUUUUAGACACUCACAACGCGAAAAUCCUGGCAAAGAGAACAGCCCUGCUCCAAUUCAGGGAAUGAAAACGUAACACGAGGUAGCACGCAUGGACACAAGGUGGUUAAGGUAAGAUUAUUCCAUUGCAGUCCUCCGUAAAAGGAUGCAAAAUUUCUAUGAGGUUAAACUGAAAAAACACUCCAUCAUUUGGAGGUCUUACGCCACGGGGAUUGGAAGGUCAUCACUGUUACUCCGACGAUGCAUUUGCUUUUGCAUGGCUUUUACUGCUGCCACUCUAGCUGCAUUGGCUGCCCUGUUGGCAGCUGCAACUGCUCUGCCCACUCUUUCAUCAACCUUGGCCACAUCAUAUGCCCGCUCUGCUGCUCGACGAGCCUCCUGAUAGAAUUAUGUAAGAGCAAUUAGCACACGAUUCAAAUUCAUAUGCCAUUUAUAUUUAUUUUUUUCACUAUUCUAAAGAGUGGAAUCAAAUUAGUUAAUGCACAUGUCGGAGUAGCUAUUUCCACUGAGAGUCCGAUUCCAAGAUUAUAUAGAGCAGCCUAGUGCAUGAAGCAUCCCGCAUUUACCGAGGGUUCGGGGAAGGGCCGCACCCCAAGGAGGUGUUAGGCAGCCUACCUGAUGCAAGCAUAUCCGUGAACUAUAAGUCACAUGAAGACAACUUUAUCAUUGUUCCACUAUUCCAAGGCUCCCCUUCUAAAUUUUAAGAUUAUAAUGCACCCAAAAUUGAGUGCCAAUGAAGUCAAUGUAUAUUCCUUUAGGAGUCUACCAAGUACACUAUUAAAACCUAUUAAGUGAAUGAAAACCUGAAAAUCACAAUUCAGAAAAGGAAAAAAUCUACAGAGAAAGCUUUCAUGACUAUGCUUUUUGUGCUUCCUGGGACUCUUUCUAGCCAUGUUAAUAAGAAUGCAGGCUCCUUCUAAAACUUUUUUUGACUGGUCACAUGCAUUUUCUGAAAUUUUAAAACAAUUUCCUUAAUAUUCAAGAGAAGUAAGUUGCAAUUAUGACAUAACUUUUGCAUAUCCAAAAGGCGAAUACUGUUCUAGCACAAAAGUCAAUUUACUUACAAUGGAAGAGUCAGAAACGAAGGAAAAAGAGAACAAGUGCAUCCUACUGAUCCUAACCUAAGACGACUUAAAGAUGUGCCAACUAAACUUAAAAAAGCCUCCAAAUCACAGCAAUAGAUAUCCGAGGAUUCAGAGAGCAUAUACUUAGACAGUCAAUAAACCAUGAGCUUUUGAAGGGAUUGGAAGGCUAAUCUGUGAAUCCUUAUUUCCCAUGCACUAGGGGGGGGGGGGGUAGCAGACCUCAGAUCAAGUUUGAUUUAAUCUUUACCUGUACACCAUUUAGCACUUUGGAGUGGUAAACAGCAACAGGGGAUACAGGAUAGGAGGCAUUCUGCGUGCUUGGAAUGUCAAGAACCCCAUUUUGCCAAUGACCACAUUGGGUUUCUCCAUUUCUAAAAGUAUACAUCCCAAGCCCUUGUCUCUUUCCCUCAUGCCACGCUCCUUCGUAGCGAUGCCCAUUUGCAAAACAAUAUACUCCAAAACCAUGCAUCUUAUCUGCAAAAUAUUCUCCAGCAUAUGUAUCUCCAUUCCUUCACAUUGGAAAGAAUAAACCAAGUUAAUCAUUUUUUUUUGACGAGAAUAGAAUUCUUUCUUACUUUACUAAAUCAUCUCAUCACAGUACAUGCAAGGGUGCCCACUGCCCAGUGCAGACACUAACAUUCAAACUGAAAAUCAAUACAAAUAAAUGAAGGGAUAUAGAUAACAAGUGUAGAAACCUAGUGGAAAAAAGAAGGAAAACCCACAGUAAAACUAUGUUAUAUGUGUGCGUGUGUAUAUUUUAAAGCCCACAGCACGACUAUGUGCAACAUAGCUCUAUGUCCUGGAAAACAGCACUAUAUUUCUCCAGCAAAAUGCUACUUCAAAGCACCUUACCAUCUGAGAGACAGAAAUAAAAGAGGCCAAAAAUUUAUAGCAUUUACAAUCAUGAAAAUCAGAAAGAAACUUCAAAGCAGUCAAGACAUCAAGUAAACUUCACUCCUCCUUUAUCUUGAAUCCAAAUAAAUGAUUUUGGACCUGGUAACACUCUUUCUCAGUCUGUUACGUGCUAUCUCACUAUAUGUCACUAAAACCAUGCAGGCAAUACUCUGGGAUCAUCACAUCAACAAUUUUUUCUCUUACAUUUUAGAGAUAAGCUAAAACUUAACAUAGCACAAACACUGUUGAUAUCAGCUGUAUCUCUUCAGUUAAAAUAAACUUAACAUCAUAAUUAAUGGAACUUUAUCAAUGUGACUCUAGGCAGUCCAUAAUUAGGCUCAUAAUUAGUCAGAAGUUGCAAUAGGUAGUGAAAAUAUUAAUAUCUCAUCUAGACAUAGAGUCAAGGCAUGAAUGCUACCCUGUUUUGCACUGCCAAUUUAGCAAAGUUAUGCAUAAUGCAGGCACAAAAUUACAAAAGGUAGUUUAUCUUUUGCAAUUAUUUUGCAUAUCUUCUGUUCAACAUGCAAAAGAUUACUUCAUAGUCUUCACCUGGCUAGAAGAUUGUCUUUCUGUAGUCAUGGACUAGAGGAAAACUGGAAAUAUUGACAAGACUCUAGUCUGAAAGAAUAUUUUCUUGAGCACAUGGUUCCAUACAUUAAUAGUCAAUUAUAGAAAUUAAUUUGAAAAUGAUAGAAGAAUAAACUACUACAUAGAAGCAACUGGAAUGACAUAAUAUGCAUUUCAAAACAGGAAAGGAGAAUAGUGCUUGCUUAACUAAACAAAAAGGAAGGCCUUUUUCGAAAACGCCUAACUGUAUAGAGAUGACAAAAUACAAAGGGGGACAAGGACAGCAUAUCUCCCAAUUGGACAGAAAUCAACUAGUUGCUCACAAAAUAAAAUCCACAAGUCUACAACCUAAUGUAAUCAACUAGAGGAAACUAUAUUUAGUUUUGUCUACUCUCCAGUAGAUUGAGGACUACCACCUUACUUCUAGUCUUCCCCAUUUUUUUUAGACUCCAGUAGAUUGAGGACAGUUGUACACUAUACUGUACAUCUGGAGUUAAAAGUUUACGAUGCACAACAUCGAGACAUAUAGCAACAAGCUCAGCAACUCUUUCACUUCUCUCCCGCCUAUUCGUCUUUAAGAAAUAACAUAAUCUAUGUUUAAUACAUAUGGUAUACCACAUAUAGACAACUAAAGCUUCUAAAGCUCAACUAGGUAAUUAACGAGAAAGAUUAAAUUUUCUGGUUACAUAUCCCUUCAAAAGUCAACAAAUUUAGAAACGAACAAAAACAUCUCCAUGAAAAAUUACCUGAAGUGGUAGUGGCCAAGGCCAUGCUUGACUCCCCACUUGAAUUCACCUACAUACCGGCUACCAUCCUCACAUGUAUGAACUCCACAACCAUGACUUUGACCGUUGGACCACUCCCCAGCAUACACGUCGCCUGUGUAAAACCUAUAUACUCCAAAACCAUGCCUAAGGCCCUGCCUAUACUGACCCCUAUAUCGACUUCCCCUCGCCCACGUCUCCACCCCAUAGCCGUCAUACUUCCCAUCAACCCAAUCACCUUCAUACCUCCCACUCAUGUAAUAGUAAUAAACUCCACUGCCACUACAUUUCCCCUUAUGGAACUCACCCUCAUACACAUCUCCAUUACUGUAAGCCUGCACCCAACAACCUGAAUUUACCCUUUUAUCGAUCUUAGGCCGCGACCCAAUUGACCAAAACACUGGUAAUUGCUGCCUAGAUACUUGGUUAGUUGAAGUAAGCUUAAUUGGCAAGGACCUAGCCAAGAACAACCUGAUUGAAGGAAGCCUAGGCAGUGCUAAAUUGAGUGAAAACAGUAAAGCAGCAGAGAAAGCAAAAGCAGAUAGAAAAUCCAAAAAGAAAGAGUUAGUUGGAUGAGAAACCAAGAAAUAGAAGAAAGGAAGGGAGAGGAGGAGUAUUAACCGGAGAUGGAGGCGAGGGACACGGCGGAGGUGGCGGAGCCGGUGGUAAACAUGGAAAUGGUUCAAAAUUCUUGAUGGGUAUUGACCCUUGGGGAGCAGAAGAAAAAGGGUAUUUGUGAAGAGAAUCAGAUAAAGUUGGAGACUUUAGAAUAGAAGAGCUUGAGGAAGAAGAAGGGUUGUGGUGGUUGUUUGUGGAAACACCCAAAAGGGGUCUCUUGUGAGGGGUGGUCUUGGUGGUGGUAGAGGUGGGGCUAGGGACAAUUGGGUCAUUNNNNNNNNNNNNNNNNNNNNNNNNNNNNNNNNNNNNNNNNNNNNNNNNNNNNNNNNNNNNNNNNNNNNNNNNNNNNNNNNNNNNNNNNNNNNNNNNNNNNNNNNNNNNNNNNNNNNNNNNNNNNNNNNNNNNNNNNNNNNNNNNNNNNNNNNNNNNNNNNNNNNNNNNNNNNNNNNNNNNNNNNNNNNNNNNNNNNNNNNNNNNNNNNNNNNNNNNNNNNNNNNNNNNNNNNNNNNNNNNNNNNNNNNNNNNNNNNNNNNNNNNNNNNNNNNNNNNNNNNNNNNNNNNNNNNNNNNNNNNNNNNNNNNNNNNNNNNNNNNNNNNNNNNNNNNNNNNNNNNNNNNNNNNNNNNNNNNNNNNNNNNNNNNNNNNNNNNNNNNNNNNNNNNCAGAAAUACAUAUCACACUACCAAAAAAACCACAAACCAAGAACCUGGAAAAUUGAUAAAAAUCCAAUCUUUUUCUCUUUUCUCCUCAGGAAAGCCACAAAGAUUCAAUUUCUCUUUGUCAGUGAUGAUUCUUUAGUUGGAAUUGAAAUAGGAAAAUGAAUUUUCCCUUCUGGGGUAGGUUGUUUAGCAGUUCUACCUCUAUCUAUCUAAUUAUAUCUACAAAAGAUGGACAAAAUUAUUGUUAUUAUUCCUAUAUAUGGAAGUAUGCGGGUGAGAAGUGAAAAACAGUUUUGUGUGUAUGUGUGUGUUUUGGAGAAGAGAGCGGAGAGAGCAAUGCGAUGAGGAGUUUUUUGAGUUUUUUAUGCUGAGGGUGGGGGAUGGGUAGGGGGUGAACUGAAGGGUAGGGCAGUUUGAAAUCAGAGGCAACCAACUUUCCCUUAUAAUAACAACAGCGUACAAGAACCGAAGCGCACGGAACUUCCAAUACUUCAGUGUUGCUCUUUUUUUUUUUUUUUUUUUUUUUUUAAUGUAGAUUGUGCCAAAAGUUUCAUUAAGGUAAAAUGCUUACUAAUGAAAAACAUAUUCAUAUUAAGUAUUCGAAUUCGUGAUCUCUAAGUAAAAUAUAUAAAAAUACACAGUUCUAGAUUUAUCCUUAAAUUUUGGAUGGAAUUUAAU